GGAUUCAGAUCUCUGAGAAGUGUGAUAAAUCAAUAGUGCCAAUCGGUUCAGUUUCAGCUUCAAAAACAUUGGGUGAUUGGAAAUGGCAUGCUAUAUUUCUGCAACAAGGCUCCCUAAAUAUUCCCUAUGUUCUAAACUGGAUUCUGACAAGGGUGUACACCCUGCUAUUUGGUCAGAAGUUUGGGAGUUCAUACUUGGUUGUUUGAUCUCGAGAACACCUUUGAUGACCACAAGCAAAUUGGGCGAACCAGAAGGUACUUCUAGGACACGGAGAAUUUCCCUGAAGGUCAAGACCUCACAUCAAUGCUCCCAAGCCCCUGAUGAGCUUGUUCCUUUUUUUUAAGUUUCUCAAAUGUCACUUCUAUAGGUUUACCUGAGAUGUUAUGUUGCAUAUGUUGUGCUGAGGUUUUCCUACUUUCCUUUUAACUUCUCUGAAGUUGAUCAUCACAUGUUUAUGCAAUUGGACCAAAG